AGUUGCAAACGACGGUGAACCACAGGCAGGUCUGAAGAAGAAAGAAGAAAGCGUACUUUAAGAGGAAAGGAAGAGGUUGGAAGGGGUUGUCUUGAGCCAAAGUUCAUUAAGGAGAGCAAGAGUUUGAGGUUGUGGCAACUUCUCAUUGGCUGAGUAGUUGCCAAGCAAGAGGAAAAUCUUCCUUCCUGCUGGGAUUACUCACAAAAGCUUAACGAGACAUUAGACAAGAUCAGCCAUCAUUUCCAGGGAAUCUUCCUGCUGACAAACUUUGCAAUUGAGUUUCUUCCAAAGAGGGAGACACAGAAUCCGGAAUAGG